CUGUAAUAAAAUGAUUGACCGUCGAAGGCCACUCCCAUACAUAGGUGUUGAGUUUUAUAUGAUAAAUGCUUUAUGUUCGGUUGAACGUAGUGAAUUAGAAUCAUAAAUGUAUUUAUUAUAGUCACGGUAUACCGGCAUGUAUGUAGUGCAGGUAGUACAGGUGUACUAGUGUCCGGAUAUGAGGCCAAGGUGACACAGGUAGCCGCGUGAGGCGGGACGGGUAACGUGUAACUGCACGAGUUACAGGUGCGACACGGGUGUCUAUAGAGUAUUAAAGGUGGUUUGAGGGUAACAUAGUCAUUCGAGUCUUGACGGUUCAUCAACUCACUUCAAGAAAUUAUAUUUUCUUUUGUUAAAUCAUAGAAUUAUGAAAUUUCCCCGUUUUCCUUGAGACAGGCAUGGACUUCAGGGAUGAUGCCGGGAAGAGAAUUCCUAGAGUCGGGCCAGGAUCCGGAUUCAGGAGGGAUGGAGAAGGGAGAAUGGAAGAAAGAUCGGGCACGUGCCCUUGUAUUUCAUGUAUACAUUUUUCCUGUAAUAAAAUGAUUGACCGUCGAAGGCCACUCCCAUA